UAGGGUGUGGUGUAAAGGGAACACAAAGGGUUUUGAGUUCUUUUGUAUAGUUUUGAGUCCUAUUAUCCUAG
rfam:Sarcophilus harrisii ctg7180001628328, whole genome shotgun sequence.